UACGUAGGGUGCGAGCGUUAAUCGGAAUUACUGGGCGUAAAGUGUGCGCAGGCGGCCGAGCAAGUCGAGUGUGAAAGCCCCGAGCUUAACUUGGGAAUUGCGCUCGAAACUACUUGGCUGGAGUGUGGCAGAGGAAGGUGGAAUUCCAGGUGUAGCGGUGAAAUGCGUAGAGAUCUGGAGAACACCGAUGGCGAAGGCAGC
rnacentral:rRNA from 1 species